rnacentral:rRNA from 1 species
AACGAACGCUGGCGGCAGGCUUAACACAUGCAAGUCGAACGAACUGAGUCCUUCGGGACUCUAUGUUAGUGGCGCACGGGUGAGUAACGCGUGGGAACGUACCCUUUAGUACGGAAUAACCCAGGGAAACUUGGGCUAAUACCGUAUGACUCCUUCGGGAGAAAGAUUUAUCGCUAAAGGAGUCCGGCCCGCGUCAGAUUAGGUAGUUGGUGAGUAUGCUCACCAAGCCGACGAUCUGUAGCNGGUUCUGAGAGGAUGAUCAGCCACACUGGGACUGAGAC